rnacentral:lncRNA from 1 species
AUGUCCGCGCUGUUCGUCUUUGGAACCGGAAGUUACUCUGCCUGUAGCGCAUUUCUUUUGAAAAACGGCGGAAUGUUUUGUCCUAGCUAUGGGAAAAGUCUGGUUGAGGAGUCACCAAACUUUUGCAGCGGCUGUGGCGAGAGGCUUUAUCACGCAUCUUGCAUCGGAGACACUUCACUCCCAUUGACAUCACAGACUACCUCAAACUGCCCGACUCCAACCUUCAGCACCUUCUUAGAAUACAGAAAAAAGAAAAAUGAAGAGAGGCAAAAGUUUUCUGAAGGGAGGAAGGGCUUAAAGAAAAAGGAAAAAAGAAAGGUUCAGAUAAAUGUCGGCUUGAUGACCAUUAAAAAGGGUGGUUUGAAGCCAUACCGUGGAAAAACUAUUUUCCUAACAACAGACCCUGACGCUACUGCCACAAGUCUGCUCAAUCAAGCUGUUAAAAAAAUGAAGGACUUUAACAAAGAUCUAAAAGAUGGACCUUUCCUUCUUCUGUAUCCGGAUGGCACUGAGGUCAUUACUGUCCCUGGAACACAAAGACCAUUUACACUUGAGGCUUAUAAGGCUGAAGUUGGCAAGCCUUAUCAAAGAAUCACUGUUUUCAUCUGCUUGAAGAGUGACUUUGAAGAUGUUGGAGAAAACUCAGACUUGUCUGACUCUGACCCAGAGAUUGUUAUUAAAAGGCCCUCUGAGUUUGAUCUUGCUGAUACACUGGUAAGUACAAUUUAA